rnacentral:rRNA from 1 species
CCUACGGGGGGCAGCAGUGAGGAAUAUUGGUCAAUGGGCGAGAGCCUGAACCAGCCAAGUCGCGUGAGGGAGUACUGCCCUAUGGGUUGUAAACCUCUUUUGUCGGGGAGCAAAAGCCGGACGUGUCCGGCUGUGAGAGUACCCGAAGAAAAAGCACCGGCUAACGCCGUGCCAGAAGCCGCGGUAAUACGGAGGAUGCGAGCGUUAUCUGGAUUUAUGGGGUUAAAAGGGUGCGCAGGCGGAAUGUUAAGUCAGCGGUCAAAUCGUGGGGCUCAACCCCAUCCAGCCGUUGAAACUGGGGAUCUUGAGUGUGCGAGAGGUAUGCGGAAUGCGGGGUGUAGCGGUGAAAUGCAUAGAUAUCACGCAGAACCCCGAUUGCGAAGGCAGCAUACCGGUGCACAACUGACGCUCAGGCACGAAAGCGUGGGUAUCGAACAGGAUUAGAUACCCGGGUAGUC